CAGCCGUAAACUAUGCUCGCUAGGUGUCAGGCAUGGCGCGACCGUGUCUGGUGCCGCAGGGAAGCCGUGAAGCGAGCCACCUGGGAAGUACGGCCGCAAGGCUGAAACUUAAAGGAAUUGGCGGGGGAGCACAACAACGGGUGGAGCCUGCGGUUUAAUUGGACUCAACGCCGGACAUCUCACCGGAUAAGACAGCUGAAUGUUUGUCAAUCUGAAGGUUUUACAUGACUAGCUGAGAGGUGGUGCAUGGCGUAGACGUCU
rnacentral:rRNA from 1 species